AUCUGGUUGUAGGUCGCUGUCUCCACCUGGUGGCGGUGUUUGUUACUGCAAUAAAAUAAAAAGGAUGGGUUCCAAACUGAGUUUAGCAGAAUUGGAGCCUCAGACUUUUCCUCAGAAGGAAAAGUUAGAUGUCAACAGACAAUACACAGGAGAAAAUCACAUUACACAUGCCUGGCACAGUAUGACAAAAGCACUCCAUCAGAUAUCAACGAAUGAAGUGUCCAGAGAUUCCAAUCAUCCUGAGUCUUUUCUGGGACAACAAAGAUUGUUUACCCAAGCCAGGAGGGGCCUUCCCUGCGAAAA